rnacentral:rRNA from 1 species
GACGAACGCUGGCGGCGUGCCUAAUACAUGCAAGUAGAACGCUGAAGAGAGGAGCUUACUCUUCUUGGAUGAGUUGCGAACGGGUGAGUAACGCGUAGGUAACCUGCCUUGUAGCGGGGGAUAACUAUUGGAGACGAUAGCUAAUACCGCAUAACAAUGGAUGACACAUGUCAUUUAUUUGAAAGGGGCAAUUGCUCCACUACAAGAUGGACCUGCGUUGUAUUAGCUAGUAGGUGAGGUAAUGGCUCACCUAGGCGACGAUACAUAGCCGACCUGAGAGGGUGAUCGGCCAAACUGGGACUGAGACACGGCCCAGACUCCUACGGGAGGCAGCAGUAGGGAAUCUUCGGCAAUGGGGGCAACCCUGACCGAGCAACGCCGCGUGAGUGAAGAAGGUUUUCGGAUCGUAAAGCUCUGUUGUAAGUCAAGAACGGGUGUGAGAGUGGAAAGUUCACACUGUGACGGUAGCUUACCAGAAAGGGACGGCUAACUACGUG